GGCACGUCUUAUCCAGGGCUGCAAAGAAAUACAAUUGAUUGAAGGAUCUCCAGGCUCCAUCAAGAGACUCUUCACCUUUGAGAGAGAGGGCUGCGUUGAGCUUCUCAGCAAUCAGCAAUGAGGUCUUUCUCACUCUCGGGAAAAGGAUGAUAAGUUCAUCAAUGAGUUUGGGUCGGAUGAGAAAGUAGUCUCUCUGAUCAAGUCACUACUAGAUGCAGGAGGACAUUUUCCUGGGAAGAAGGGUGACCUUGGCCGAGGAGAAUUUAUCACUGUCUCAUCUCUGACUAGAGAUAUUCAUGGUGCUCCAGCUGAAAGUUUUGUUGUUAAGCUCUCUGAAGCAAUUGGAAGCUUGAAAAUCCUGCGGAAAAUGUCAUCCUUUUGGUGUAGAGUUGCCGUUGAGGUAAGUCGACGGUAUUGAACCUGAACUCAAGAUAUUUGGACUUGUUUUGCUGGGGAAAUUUAAAUUCUCUGUCUAUUUCUUUUUUGGCUUUUCCUGCAACCAAGGAUGUGCUCGACAUGUUGCUACAGCUCCUGUCGUAGUGAUACCCUCAUCUAAACGCUACCACGCGAGAAUGAGCAGAGCCCAAGCUUGACCUUAUGUGUACAUCCUGAGAUGGGAUUGUGUUAUUGCCGACCUUUUAAGCCCUCCCUCUUGUAUUGUGUGGUAAACGCUCUUUUCUCUGAAGUUGUGGCUCCUACCCGUCUGUGACUACAGUUUACUUGAAUAACAUGAAAUAAUUCUGACAUUAUGUUUUGUAUAA